UACGUAGGGUGCAAGCGUUGUCCGGAAUUAUUGGGCGUAAAGAGCUCGUAGGCGGUCUGUCGCGUCGGCUGUGAAAACCCGGAGCUCAACUCCGGGCCUGCAGUCGAUACGGGCAGACUGGAGUUCGGCAGGGGAGACUGGAAUUCCUGGUGUAGCGGUGAAAUGCGCAGAUAUCAGGAGGAACACCGGUGGCGAAGGCGGGUCUCUGGGCCGAUACUGACGCUGAGGAGCGAAAGCGUGGGGAGCGAAUAGG
rnacentral:rRNA from 1 species